UACGGAGGGGGCAAGCGUUGUUCGGAAUUACUGGGCGUAAAGGGCUCGUAGGUGGCCAACUAAGUCAGACGUGAAAUCCCUCAGCUUAACUGGGAACUGCGUCUGAUACUGGAUGGCUUGAGUUUGGGAGAGGGAUGCGGAAUUCCAGGUGUAGCGGUGAAAUGCGUAGAUAUCUGGAGGAACACCGGUGGCGAAGGCGGCAUCCUGGACCAACACUGACACUGAGGAGCGAAAGCCAGGGGAGCGAACGGG
rnacentral:rRNA from 1 species